CCGGUAAUUAAAAAUAAGUUUAUUUUUGGUAGUAUAUGUUUACAUGUCGCCACUGAAACCUUGACUGAAAUCUUUUUCCGAUGAGAAGCUUGCAAAGGUAGUUAACUUUACAGUCUCAAAUCAAGUCUUAAAAUUCUUCAAUUUUUUUUUAUAUUUUUCAUGUUCGUUUUGUGGUUUUACGGUUUAUGUUCGGAGUUUGUAGUUUUCUUUCUUAACAAUAUUAUCUUCAAGGUUUGAACUUAAAUUCUUACUGUAAAAGUACAGCGUUCCAUACCAUUACACUCAAGUUUGCCUAAUAUGCUUCAUUUUAUACACAAAGUACACACUCAAACCUCAGCAGUUGAGUUUUGUUAUGAUAUUCAGAUUUAAAAGGAUAACAGCAGCUUGAUUACAUAUAUAGUGGAUUUUCUAUAUAAAGAGAGAGAGAAGGGUAGAUAUAUCUAAAGUAAUCGAAGUUUGAUUUUGCCUGGGUAACACUCCAAAGCAUAAGUCACAAGCUUGUCGAGCUCGUCAUUGACGUUGAUAAACCCAUCGUGGUUUUCGUCAGCCAUCUGAAACGCACGAUGGGUUCUAUAAAGCGGAAAACGAGAUUGAAGCCUUCGGAAACCUGCCUUCACCUCUUCCCAGCUCAGCUUUCCGUCGUUGUUGACGUCGCAACGCUUGAAUAGCUUCAUUAAUUCAUCGUAAUCUUCUUUCGGUAUAUCCUUGGUCUUUGUUUCUGCUUUUUUAAUAUUGAAGAAAUGCACCAUUUUUUUUUCUCUCUUGUGCAGCAAGUAAAAGAGAAAGAUCAGAUGAAUGUUUGAAAUUCCACCUUCUUUGAUUGAAGUUCAAAAUGG
rnacentral:lncRNA from 1 species